rnacentral:rRNA from 1 species
ACCAGACUCCUACGGGAGGCAGCAGUGGGGGAUAUUGCACAAUGGGGGAAACCCUGAUGCAGCGACGCCGCGUGAGCGAUGAAGUAUUUCGGUAUGUAAAGCUCUAUCAGCAGGGAAGAAAAUGACGGUACCUGACUAAGAAGCCCCGGCUAACUACGUGCCAGCAGCCGCGGUAAUACGUAGGGGGCAAGCGUUAUCCGGAUUUACUGGGUGUAAAGGGAGCGCAGGCGGCCUUGCAAGUCUGAUGUGAAAGGCCGGGGCCCAACCCCGGGACUGCAUUGGAAACUGCGAGGCUGGAGUGUCGGAGAGGCAGGCGGAAUUCCUUGUGUAGCGGUGAAAUGCGUAGAUAUAAGGAAGAACACCAGUGGCGAAGGCGGAUUACUGGACGAUAACUGACGGUGAGGCGCGAAAGCGUGGGGAGCAAACAGGAUUAGAUACCCGGGUA